rnacentral:rRNA from 1 species
CCCUUAGAUGUUCUGGGCAGCACGCGCGCUACAAUGGUCUUCGCAAACGGAUGCAUUCUCGAAGGAGAAUGCCAAUCUUGGAAUCUAUGCCUUGGUCGGGACAGUUGCUUGCAAUUUUUCGACUCGAACCAGGAAUUCCUUGUAAUCGUGAUUCAUCACAUCACGAUGAAUACGUCCCUGCCCUUUGUACACACCGCCCGUCGCUCCUACCGAUCGAAGAGUUAGGUGAAUUGUUUUGAUCGAUAAGAUUUGACUAUGGUCAACUCUCGUUGUGAAAUUCUGUGAAGCUGACUGUGUAGAGGAAGGAAAAGUCGUAACA